GUUCCGGGCAGCCCCGGGAGCGCCGCCUCGAGCAGCGGGUGCCGUGCCCGCGGGGCCGGCUCUCCAAGGCGCCCUCGGGCUGCUCGGGCCCUGCUGCCUCCCCUUCUCGUCGUCGCCGCGCUUCAGCCCGCGGCUGCCGUGAGCGCCUCGGCCCCCGGCCCCCGGGGAGGCUGUUACGGCGGGGGGGGGCUCCGAGUGCCGGCCGGCCUCGCCAUUUCCUCAGCACCUCUCCUCUCCUCGCCCCUGGCUGCGGCACAUCCCGUCCCUCCCCAGCAGCACGCGUUCCGGGACGGCGGCGUGGUGCGAUGGAGCGAUGGGCGGCUGUGCUACGGGCGGCUGUGCUCCGCGCGGUGCCUCGGUUCCCCCGAGCGCUUCUUUCCCCACGUCGAAGCCUCGGCUGCUGCUCGGCGCGCCCCGGGCCUGCAGGCCGGGGAUGUUGGCCGGGUGGCUUCCCGUGGCCAGGCGGGAGCUUGCACGGCCGCCAGGCUGCGUGUGAGCGGGGACAGCGGCCCACGGGGACAGCGGCCCACGGGGACAGCAUCCCGCGGCUGCUGGGUGGCCGGGAGCUGCGGGUGGCGUGUGCCCCCAGGGAGCCGAGCCAGGCAGCGUGCCCCUCCAGACAUCCUUCCGUGCGCAUGCAGAUCUCCAGGGGGAUCCUGCCCUGUUGCUAA
rnacentral:lncRNA from 1 species